GCCGGCGUGGUGGAAUGGUAGACACGGUGGACUCAAAAUCCACUGUCUUCGCGGACAUAAGGGUUCAAGUCCCUUCGCCGGUAC
rnacentral:tRNA from 1 species